UACCUGGUUGAUCCUGCCAGUACUAUAUGCUUGUCUCAAAGCCUAAGCCAUGCAAAUGUAAGAUCAAUCAUAUGCGGUUUCGGCCGUGUAUAAUGAUAGUCUGUGGAAGGCUCAUUAUAACAGUUAUACUCCUAGCCACUGGAAAGUUUACAAGGAUACCACCGUUAACUGCAGCGAUAAUACUUGUUCCCUUCGGGGUGGUAAUAGUAUUUGUGCUGAAGCCUAGCUAUUGUAACCUAGUUUUUCGGGUGUGGCAACAUAUUCGGGGGAUUAGGAAUCGACCGCUAGCAGGUGCCUUCGGGCGCGGGAAAGUGAAUUAACAAGGUUUUCAUAAGGCCUUUCAGGUUUGCUUUUUCUAGUGGCCAGGCAGAGGAGUUUCUUACCUAUCAGCUCGUUGUUUGUUUAAAGGACAAACCAGGC
rnacentral:ncRNA from 1 species